ensembl:lncRNA
UCUUGCUCGAACUUUAACCCAGUAAGAAGCAUCUUUUCUUCAGGGCGUCCCCACUCUGCUCAAAGAGAGAAACAGAGGCUGAGACAUGCUGUUUCUCUGCCCCCAAGUGGCCGAAAGCAUCAAUUAACGUGACUUUAACCGUCCUCUUCUGCAUCCAAAUCACACCCAGGUUUCAUGAACUCAAACCAGAUGUUCAGAGGGAGAUGAUGCCACAUCUGGUCCAGCUGAUGGAAGGUCUUGAAGUUCACUGACUGACCUCGACUGAAGAUGGUCGUCUCACUGGAUUUAAGAUGCACAAUGAGGGACGUCUGCAGAGACUGAGAAAGAGUCUCACCACAUCCUGACAUGAGGAAAAAGACUUUAUUGAAGAC